rnacentral:lncRNA from 1 species
AGAACCACCGCCCUGGUAACGGUGCGGGCCCCAAGAAGGCCCCGAGCCGAGCCAGGAACUCAGGGACUCAGAGUGAUGGCGAGGAGAAGCAGCCCGGCCUGGUGAUGGAGCGCGCUCUGCUCAGUGAUGAGAGAGCGGCAACUGGCGUUCACAUCGAGCCGCCGUGGGGUGCAGCCUCAGCAAUGGCGGAGAGUGAGUGGCUGAGCGUCCAGGCUGCGCGAUGAGCACACACUACUACUGAUGGCCUUUCGGGGGUCCCUGCCCCAACCGGAGAGGCCGGUGCACAGGGCCCCGCCAGGGGCUGGGGGCAUCCCGGCUUCCACAAUGCAGCUGCUCUGGGCCUCGGGAGAGGAGAGACCCCAGUCCCCUGGGCUGCCCUUCCCGGGCCUCGUCUGUCUGGGUCCUUUGGUCAAUGUUGCACAGUUUUUAUUGCUCCCAU